UUUGAUUAUAAUUUAAAGUCUGGCCUGCCCAAUGAGGAGUUAAAUGGCCGCGGUAAUUUGACCGUGCAAAGGUAGCAUAAUCAUUAGUUUUUUAAUUGAAAGCUGGUAUGAAUGGUUGGACGAGAGAGUAGCUGUCUCAAUUUAAUUUUAUUAGAAUUUUAUUUUUAAGUUAAAAAGCUUAAAUGAAUUUAAAAGACGAGAAGACCCUAUAGAGUUUUAUAUAUUAUGUUAUAUUAGAUUAUAGGUAUUAGGAUAUUAAUAUAAUAUUAUGUAUUUUGUUGGGGCGACAGAAAAAUUAAAUGAACUUUUUUUAUAGUUAAGUCAUUAAUUUAUGUUUAAAUGAUCCGUAUUUUACGAUUAUAAGAUUAAAUUACCUUAGGGAUAACAGCGUAAUUUUUUUUUAGAGUUCUAAUCGAAAAAAGAGUUUGCGACCUCGAUGUUGGAUUAAAAUUAAUUUUUGGUGUAGUAGCUAAAAAAUUAGGUCUGUUCGACCUUUGAAAUU
rnacentral:rRNA from 1 species